rnacentral:lncRNA from 1 species
UAAAAAAUAUUAUCCAGUCCAUAAAUAUAAUAUAAAGACCAAGAACAAGUUAUGCUCAGCAAAUAUAUUACUAAGAAGUUCAACUACAAAAUAAUCUGUUAGCUUGAUAUUAGAAUUUAUAGGCUGCAAGAAACAAUUAGAAAAAUGUUGGGGUUGCACGUGGGAUCGUGUGUUAAGGGAUAAAGAUGAGUGCUCUUAGUAAGUUCAUGGUAACUGGGCUCUUGAGUGUUUUAAGGCUGCUGGACUAUAUCAAGAUAAUACAAGAGUUAGAAAAAAUACUUCUACUAGGAGAGGCAUAGGAAGAGGACUUAGACUAAGAGUUGGCAGAGGAGGGGGAAGAGGAACUGGUAGAUGAAGGAGAAGGGUCGCUGGUUCUAAUUCAACAAAUACAGCAGCCAGUGCACCUGCAUGAUUUGCUACUGCUGCUUCAUUUCACGGGCUGCUAAAUUUAUUCCUGCUACUGUUGGAAAAAGAAAGAACAAGAGAACUGCAAUUUGGUAUUUACAUUAGACACACAAUCUGGAAGACAAGUCCUUAAUGUAAGCUCUUUCAUAUUUUAUAUAUGUAGCUAUUUCAUACGUUAUUAAUAUAUAUUACUCUGAAUUUUUGGCUCGGAACAUCGAGAGAAAGAGUCAUCUUUAGUGUGAGACAAUUAAAGAAUGCAUCACUUAUCAAUAUUGAUCUUGGAUUCAAGCUCCCUAGAUUGAAAUAUUAGGGAAAAUCUGCUAUUACUGAAAAUAAAUUUGAACAACGAAAAGAGAUGCAAAUGAAGAAUAAAAAGACUCACUAGAGAACAUUUUACUUUAUGUAUUUUGUUCUAAAAUCUCAAUUUUAGUUAUUUGCUAUUAAAGCAAUCUUUUAGAUGUAUGUUUGAUAUUUUAUUUUGUGACUAUUACCUUAAUUUGCGCAAUGAAAUUUGCAGAAUUUUAAAAAUGAACAUUUAUGCUCCAUUAUCAGUUCAUUUUGAUAGACUUUUCUAUACAGUUAAUAUUUGAGUAUGUCAAAAUUUUGCUGAAAUAUUAGUCCAAAAAUGAUUCAACUUAUAUUCAUCUUAGGGUUAGAUUGCAUUAUUUAAAAAAGAGCUCCUUCAACCAACUAAAUUACAAAAUACAAGAAAAUAUUACAUAAGAAACUCUCUAACAAUAAAAGCUAGUAUCACAAUGACGUACUUUCUCCUCAUAUUCUCCUUUUCUUCGUCGUAUUUUGAUCCUCUUCGAAAAUUCCCAGAUAAUGAUCCUAGCUUGUUCGGGAAAUUUAUUUUCAAACCACUUAAAAUACUUAUACCCUUCCAGUAAAAUAGUAAGAAAGGUCCAUAAAAAUGAAUUCUUGGCCAACUAAUUUUGAAGAAAUAAAAUAGGCACCAAAAAAUAUUUAAAUAUUUAUUUACCGAACCAUAUUGGCAUCAAAGAUAUUUGCGACUUGGGUUAUUUUGUGAUCUUGAAACCAUCAAUUCUAUCCUUUUACCACAAUGCCACUACAAGGUGCCUUCCAUUUUUUAGAAUGCUUUGUAAUAGAGAAAGAAGGAAGAUGGGAGUAGGAAAGGGUCGGGGAAGAAUGGGGAAGAAUGAGGAUUUAGGUUAAGAAAUUUGACAAUUAAUAUAAAAGGAAUUAAUUAAGGGUAUAAUAUUAAUUUUAUUGUUUUUAACCGUUAUAACCAAGAAAAUUUUUACCUAACAUGCUGCCCAAUAGUUGUAUCUCACUCGUGUUGCCAUGUAGACCCGUGUGUUUAGUUGACACACUAAAACAAAACAUAAAGUGCCUAUAUGGACACCUAGUAAAUUGGACUAACAUUAUGUGUUUCUUUGUGUAUUUUGGAUUUUUUAAUCUAAACUUAUAUACUCGCACAAUGACCUACUCUAAUUAAGAAUUUGAACACGUGAUAAAGUGUUUACAUACUUAUAUUUUGAAAAUAUUUCUGAGCUUGAGAAUAAAGAGUCCAUCCAACGUGGUUGGGCUAGUUUUGUGAAUUUUUAACUAUGAACUUAGAUACUGGACAAAGAUGUCACGAUCUAAUUUCUACUAAAGAUUAUACAUCAUAAGAAAACAUAAAAAAUAUACCUAUAAUAACAUCUGGAGACGACUCGAGAUCCUGUCGGCCUAUUACAGCAUAAGUUCGAUUUUGGCCACCACUUGAACUCAACACUGUACCUCUAACUCUACCACGACCUAUUGACUGCUGAAAACCCCGUGCUAGAGGUCGAGCUGAUGAGAAAGAACCAGACACAGAUCGAGUCAGCUGAGCCAUGCCAUCACCUCCCCUUUUAGGACAAUCAUGCAUCAUAUGGCCAGGCUAUUCGUAAGAAUAACAUGCUUCAGAACCUCGAUGGCACAUUUCAAAGUUGUGGGUAUCAUCUGACUAUAUCCCUGUUAUGUUGCGAGCCUGAUGCCCGCGAAAUCUGACCUAAACCAGAAUAGUAGAUCAAUCAUAUCAAGGCCUUUGAAACUGUGGAGGAGUACUAGCUACAGAUGACGUCGAACUCAUCAAAGACUGGGUCCUGACACUACCUCUAAAGCCAUCAGAAUACAGUGCAAAGCUUUUCUUCUUAUGCGAGCCCCAAUCAUGCUCCCUAGCUGCCCACUGUUGGAGCGUACGAUCCUCUAGGGUCUGGGCAUAAGCCUCAAUACGGAAAAUAUCCAUGCCUUCCACCAAGGAAGCUGUCAUACACUCAUUUAUCAAAUGUGGUCCUAACGCGUUCACGAACAAAUGCACCCUAUCACUUAUCUCGGCCACCAUACGGGGAGCAUACCUUGUUAAAGAAUCAAAUUGCAUACUAUACUCUCGCAUAUUCAUAUUACCUUGUCUAUUGUUCAAGAACUUAUCAGCAUUAGCUUGUCGUAGCUCAACUAGAAAGUAGUGACGAAGAAAGGCCUCGAAAAAAUCCUUCCACACAGCUGAUGGAGCGUUUGGACCCCUGGAUCUCACCCAAAUAUCAUACUAGAGAACCGCUAAAUCCCGUAUCCAAUAAGAAGCCAACUCUACUGCCUCGAUAUCACUAACAUGCAUAAUUCGUAGUGUACGAUGAACCUAUUCAAUAAAAGUUUGCGGGCCCUCCUUGGGUUCUGAUCCGGUAUACACUGGAGGGUCUAAAUUAAUAAAAUCACGAACUCUCGUACUAACUGGUUUAUCAACAACACAUGUAUUCUGCAUUUGGGCCUGAGCAGCUACCAAGCUAGUUAAUAACUGCAAAGCACUCCGCAUAUCCUGGUCUGUAGUGCUAGAUGGAGGAACUGGAGGUGUUGGAUUCCUCCUAAUAUCCUCUGGAGGAGAAGUAGAUGAGGUAUGAGACGACAUCUGACUUUGGCCUACUCUAGCUUGGGGCACCUCAGUGGUGCCCUCUCCCACAACUGUAUCAAGCUGUAUACUAAUUGUUUGCUUCCUAGUCGAAGGCAUCGCUAAAAGAAAACAAGGUAAAUAUUAGAGAGAACACUUACAACUCAACUCUAUUCACGAUCUAGAUUCAGGAAUAAAGGUAAUAAUCUUAGAUGUCCUGUAGCCUCCUGAUUAUAAAUGUGGCGUGCUACAUAUCCAUAAUUAAGAUUCUGCUAGACACGGAUCAUAGACAAUCCCUAGGAUAGAGCGACUUCAAUACCAAGUUUGUCACGACCAAAUUGGAGGGCCAUGACUAGCACCCAGCCAUACUUGCUGUGCACCAACGUACAUUUUACCUAACCUUCUUUAUUAUCUUUUUGGGCCAAUGAGAUCAAUAUAAAUGGUAUCCAUGGAUCAUGGAGAACCAACCAUAAAAUAUGAUGGAAUAAACAUACAAAACAUGGGGUGACCAAACAAUUAAUAAACUAUAUAUAAGGUACCAGCUACCACGCUACCAUGAAAGACUAUACAACAAAAACUAGCCGACAAGGCAUACCAAACUAUACAUGAGUCGACACCUAUCAAUGAGCCUCUAAAGGAACAUAAGUGCUGCAACAUAGCCGGAACAGGGCCCCGACAUACCCAUAAUGUCUCUAAGAAAAAUGCAUAACAAGACCACGACAAGUCCAGAUAAGGGAUCUCGCCAAGCACCGCUGAAUUGGAGAGCCUACUGUGGUGGGGGAGCUGCACCUGCCUGUCUAUCUGGACCUGCAGCACGACAUGCAACAUCCACAAAUAAAAAGGCAUCAUAAUGAAUAAAGUACUUAGUAUGUAAGGUAGGGAACCAUAAAUACAAACAAAUGUAAGUAGCGAUAGAGAAUAUACAACCUGUAACAUCUGAGUACCUCUAAGGGCUACUGACAUAAAAUGCAUGAUACAUAUGUAUACAUAAACGCUGAAAACAUACGCCUCUGUGGGCAUCAAUAUCAUUAUAUCAUACCUAGACGUAAUAGGUUCUGUAAAAAAAUGUACCCGGCAUCAUAACGCUCGGUAGAUUCAUACCUAGCCACGUGGAGCUCGAUAAAAUCCAACUGAUCAGUGGUUGCACAAUAGGUCCGUACCCGGCUGACUAUAGCACGGCUCGUUACAGUAAAAUAGAUACAUAUAUAUAAUGCAUGCUCGACUCCUGAAAACAUGUUCUAGACCUUUCAAAGUGACGUAAGAUCGAUAUUCUCUGUACACGUUAUUAGGACUAACUCUUCACUAUGAACCUUGUAUGAAUCAGGAAGUACCAACAACAUUGAUAACAUAAGAAUAAGAGAAACAACAUUGCAUCAAUUGUUCCAUAAGAGGGGAAACAAUGUAAGUUCUGCUAGCUUCUAAGAGUAGAGUAACUUUAGGAGCUUGUUCAUUACAUUAUGUACGACCAGAGUCGUGCAAAAGAAGGAAAGGGAUAGCCUCACAUACCUUUUAUAUACUGCCCCAGUAUCAAGCUAUGCAGUUUUCACAACUCCCUAGUGUACAAUAAGAGAAAUGAUACAAUUGUUAACAUUUAUGCGUCAUAACUAUUUAUGUAUCGACAACGACCUAUUUUACGAUGAAACGGACAGAACCUCCCGUAUAUAUAUGAAUUCAAAAAAUUCCAAAUAAUCACCAAACACCAACAACAUCAAUAAUUCGUAGCCCAACAGCAACACAAAAUAGUCCACAAAAUAGUCUGCCACAAGUGAAUAACUCGAACUCACUGCUUCCGAUCACCGUCCCGUGAGUUGUUACAUGUAUAGCACGAAUUACCAUGAUUUUAUAGAAGAAAAAAUGUCUAAUAUAGAGUAGUAAACUUACAUUACCCGUUGGAUAACUCAGCCCUUCCCUUGGGUCUUUAAACUCUAGAUUUUUACCCUCAAUGAGAACUUGAAAGAGAGGGAAUAUCAAUUAGGGUUGUGUGGAAUUUUUGGGAAGAAGUUUGUAGGGGUGUAGGUCUGAUUAUUUAUGAGAUAUAUUGAGGUUUAUGUUGCAGGAGAUAACCCUUUAAAUAGGCUCAAUAGCCAAACCCAUAUUUUCUUUUUUUUGGGCUAUCAUUUAACCAAGUAGGUGACACACCUACUUGUCACCUAGCAGCUUGCGCAGUCUCACAAAAAUGCAUAUAUCUCUCUACUCCGAUCUUGUAUUGAUAAACAGUCUAAUGCAUUAGUAACUAGACUCAAAGAUAUUAAAUUUUGUGGGUAGAACCCUGUAAUUCCAAGUAGAUUGGGAGAAAAGCUUAAUGACAUUUGACCUAAAGUUUAUGUUAAACCACGAACCUAAGUUGCGACAACUUUAGUCAACUUUUGUUUCAUAACUCGUUUGAUUUCAAGUCUAUGAAAUGGAUAUUAUAUGAUUCAAAUACGUUAAAACAUGACCUCUUGACUGUAUUAAGCACCAAUAGCUUUACCCAAAAAUACAAGUUGCAACAUCCUUGAUUCGUUCAACUUCUAAUACUUGUUAAUCACCCUUAUAUACCCUUGUAUCACUUAAGAUCAAUAUGAUUAACUUCUUAUCUUCUCAAGGAUAAUUCUUUCUUGUAUUUAUGUUAACUAACGUAUGGCAUGUACUAACGAGUGUGGAUAUGGGUUGUAAAAGUAUUGUAUAUGUGAUAUGUUGUGGAGGAUUGGGAUAUGCAUGUGUAAAGAGUAUUUCAGAUGUUUUUAGAAAACUUAGGCUUGAAUUCGAUGUGAAUUGAUGGAUUUGGUGUUGUUUGAGGUGCUUUGAUGAUUGGAACAAGUUCAAAUGCGAUUUUAGGAUGUGUUGGUGAUUUUGUUGAAGUUUCGGGGGCCUCGGGUGACUUUUGGAUGGUCAAUCAAACUUUUUUUGGUAUGUUGAAGUUGCAGAUUUCUCAUUUCAGGUGUUGCAGACAAUUUAAUCUUCGCAUUUGCAUAGAGAGCCUCGUGUUCGCGAAGAAGGAAUUGGAAGGCAGGAAUAUAAGCCUUCUCUUUCGCAUCUGAGGGAUCACAUUCGCGGAAGGCUAAAAUGGUUGCACUUUGCAUUCGGAUGGGCUAGAUCGCGUUCACGUGUAAGGAUUGGGGGUCCAGGAGCAGUUGUUCUAAACGUUCACAUAAGGAAUGAUGCGUUCACAUAGGAAGGAAGGCUGAGGCAUCACGUUCGCGGGGUGAGUCUCACGUUUGCAUAGGGUUAUUUUUUUGAAAUUAAAAGAUGUGCUUCGUUCGCGAGGCAGUAGUCGCGAACACGAUGAAGGAUUAUUAAGUGCGGGGCAAAAUGUUUUAAAAAGGCUAUUCCGCAAUUUAAAGAUUUAGAAACUCUAUUCUAGAGCAAUUUUGGAUCUUGGGAAAGCUAAUUGAAUAGUGAUUCAAGAGGAAUCACCUGGAGAUAAGAUUUUGAACUCAAUACUUGAGUAUUACGUGAAUUCCACCUAGAAAAUCAUGAAAACUAGGGAUUGCGAUUUAAAAUUUUAUUUAUGGAUUUGAAGGACCAUUUGAGGUCAGAUUUAAGAACUUUUGGUAUGUAUGAACUCGUGGGAAGAUAAGGAACCCGUUGAUGUGAAAAUUUCCAUGUUUCGAGAAGUGGGUCCGAGGCUCGGGUUUUCCUAAUUUCGGAAUUUCUGCCCGUUAUUGAUUGUUUUCGCUUGGGCUUUGUUCCCUUAGCAUAUCAUGAUUUACUCGCUCUGAUUUUUUAUAUAUUCGGCACGCAUGAAGGCCGAUUUGAGGGGCAAAGGCGUCGCGAGCUAGAGAUUUCGCCAGCUUGAGAUGAGUAAUGAUUAUAAAUGAUAUCCUGAGGGUUUGAAACCCUGGAUUGCACAUCAUAGUGCUAUAUUAAGGUGAGACACAUGCUAGAUGAUGAGCGCGAGGUCAUUUUAUACUGGGAAUUGUGUCAUGGUCCGUCCCAAUUGAUGAUUUUACCAUAUAUUUGACUGAAACUUAUUUGUUAUUACCAUGAUUUGGAUUGAUUGUCAAAUUUGGGUUUCACGCCAAUUAUUUGAACCCUUCGGGGAUUUUUAUCACUAUUUCCUCACUGUUUUAAUCUAUUACUUGAACUCAGACAUCUUGAUAUCUACAAAUUUAUAGACUCGGCCACUUUUACUCAAAUGUGAAACUUAAAUGAUAUUUCUGAACGAUUUUUUGGGCUGAGAACUACUAUUUUACUAAUUCUCGAGUGGCUUGUGAUAAUUUUUGGACUGAGUGAGGCCGAGGGCCAUAUGUGAGGAUAUGCUGAGUGAUAUGAGGUUGAGGGCCUGAGAUACAUUUAUAUGCCACGAGGCGGCUUGAGUGAUAUGAGGCCGAGGGGCGAGUGAUGAUGCCAUAAGGUGGCUUGAUAUACUUCUUUGGUCGUAAGGGGCCCCUCUGAAGUCUGCAUACCCAUAGUUAGCACAUGUACCCAUUAUACUGAGAGAGCCCGAGGGGCCGAUAUGAGUGAUUGUGAGGUAGACCAAGGGGAUGAUACAAGUUAUUGUGAGGUAGCCUGAAGGGCUGAUAAUAUUCAGAGAAUGAGCCCGAGGGGUUGAUACAAGUGAUUGUAAGGUAGCUCGAGGGGCCAGUACUAUUAUGAGAUAUUGCCCGAGGGGCGAACUUUUAUGUGAUCAUCUUACAUAUUGAAUUGUCUUUGUACCUGUUAUACUAUGGUAUUUAUGCCCGACGGUCGCAUUUUCUGUUCAUAUUAACACUAACUGUUUGAAUUGAUUGCAUAACAGUUGAAAAGGUCAUUUUUAAAAAAAGGUUUAAACUGAGCCAAGAUAUUUGUAAUGAUUUCACAGCUUCACUUUCUUUCUCAAAUGAUUGUAUGUUGCUUGUACACAACAUGUAGGUUGUUUUUACGUGAUUUCUUACAACUCAGUUGUUAUUUUACUUUAUUGCUCACUGAGUUGGAGUACUCACUUUACUCCCUGCACCACAUGUGCAGAUGCAUGUAUUUGUUCACCUGGUAGCGGGUUUGGCUGAUUCGAGGCAGAGCUAUAGCAGUUUAGCGAGGCGGCUUCCAGCAUUCGCAGCACCGCUUCUCUCUCUAUCUUGUUCAUUAUUCCUGAUUAGUGAAUUUUUUAGACCUUGUGGCCGCAUUUAUUCUCGAAUAGAUGCUCAUGACUUGCUAGUUAAUAUAAUUAAAUCAUAUUUAAACUAGUUAAUAGAGUUGUUCUGUAAUGGUCUGGCUGGCCUUGUCUUCAGGAGAGGCGCCAUCACAGCUUGGUAUGGGUUUAGGGUAUUGACACGAUCACAACAGACAUCAUGAAAAUGUGAAGCCCACACUUCCUUCCUUACACGAACGCGAGGCCUCAAUCGCAUACGUGAAGGCCGGUUUCAGACCACCUCCAAUAUCCCCCUAAGCGAUCGUGGCUCGACCCACGCAAUCACAAAGGCUUAAACUUGCAACACCUUGAAUGAAAAAUCCGCAGCUUUCCAACACAAAAACUAGCCCGAUAGAACAUCUGAAACUCACCCGAGGCCCCUGGGACCUCAACCAAAGGCACCAACACAUCCUAAAACAUCAUUCAAACUUCUUCCUAUCAUCAAAAUACCUCAAACAAUACCAAAACCUUCAAUUCACAUCGAAUUCAAGCCUAAGUUUUCUAAAAACUUCUGAAACACGCUUUUGAUUAAAACCCCGACUAAAGCACCUCUGAAUAACCUAAUAUGUUGCAUACGCAUCCCAAAUCACAUUACAAAGCUACAACAACUCUCAGCAUUCCAUUCCGACCUUCGAAUCAAAAUUUCACCUAUCAACCGAAAACUUCAAAAAUUCAAACUUCGGCAUUUCAAGCCUAAAUUAGCUACGAACCUCCAAAAAACAUUCCAAACACGCUCUCAACACCAAAAUCACCUAAAAAGCUAAUGAACCCAUUGGAUUUCCAUUCCGAGACCAUCUUCACACUCUUCCGACUAGGGACAACUUUCCAGCACUUAUGCUCUCAAUUAGGGACUAUGUGUCCCAAAACUAUUCGAAACUCAAAACCGAACGUCACGAUAAAUCAAAGUAGCAGAAUAAAACUCGGGAAAAGUAGUUAACAGGGGAUCAAAGCAUAAAUUCUUAAGACGAUCGGUCGGGUCAUCACAAAAUGGAUGUUAAAAUGACCUUUUUGGGUAGAAACCUUAUUGAAGAGAUUUAUAUGCAACAACCUAAAGGUUUUGUUCUUCCGGGAAAUGAGAAUAAAGUAUGUAAAUUGAUAAAGUUUCUAUCACGACCCAUGGGGGGAUAAUCACUUGUUUUCUUAUCAUUAUGUACUUUCGAGGCCUUGCAAACCCCAUCUAGGGUUACCUGGAUUUGCGUAUAUAAUCCGGGCAAGUAAUCGGAAAGCUUAGAUAUGAAUUCUGUGAGAAAAAGGCUAAAUUUUGAGAUUAAAUUUGAAUAAAUUUUACUUCCGUCAGAAUUUUGGGUAACGGAUCCGGGCCUAUCAAUUAACGGUACUAGAGGGUCCGUAGGAAAAUAUGGGACUUGGCCGUAUGCCCUAAAACGAAUUCCGAGGUCACAAGCCCGAGAAAUAAAUUUUUGCGUGAAUGUUUUUUGUAGAAAUAAUUAAGGAAACUGGAAGUGAAAUUUGAUUAAAAGCUCAUGGUAUCAGGCUCAUAUUUUUUUUCUGGUACCCCGUACAAGUCUAUAUAUGGUUUAAGUACUUCCUGUACAGUUUGGUUGAAAUCGGACGUCAUUUGACGUGUUUUGAACUUAAAAAUGUAAAUUUGAUGUUUUAUGAAACUUUUGAGGAAACCAUGAGCUUUCAAGCUUAAUUCAAUGUAUAUGAUGUUAUUUUGGCUAUUAAUCGCGCGAGUAAGUCCGUAGGAUGUUUUUGAGCUUCUGUGCAUAUAUGAUUUGUAGCCCCGUGGGCUCGAUUUAGUUUUGGAUGGGCGUCGUAGUGUAUUUUUAACCUUGAAUGUUGCUCGUAUUUACUGGCUUGCAGGCUUUAAAUUUGACUCGUAAAUGCGAUAUAGCAAAAGCGAGUGGUCCUUUGCAAUUUCGAAGUAAGGCCAGGCCAUACUUUCUCCCAAAUGCGAGCAUUAAUUCGCAAUUGUGAAAACGCUCGGGGUGCCAGUUAUUACAAAUGCGAUCCUUAUGUUGCAAAUGCGACCCUAACUUCGCAAAUGCGAAGGUCCUGAAUAUAGGAAGGCUUCGCAAAUGCGAACCCAAUUUUGCAUUUUCCAUGUCAGCAAAGGUCGGGGUUUGCAAUUGAGAACCCCAGUUUGUAAUUGCGACAUUUGCAACCUGCAAUUUUAUACUUAGUCGAAAUUUUGACAUUUUUCACCCCAUUUUCAAAACACAACUCCUUUGGGCCAUUUUCCAAGAACAAGACAUCUUUCAAAUCAUUUGUAAGUUGGUUUACACUUAUUUCUUUUAAUCUUUAACAUCAUUAUACAUGAUUUCAAAUUAAAAUCAAUGAUUUUCAUGGGUGAAAUUUGAGGUUUGGGGUAGAACCUAGGUUUUUCUAAAAUUGGGUAUUUGGACCUCAAUUUAAGGUCCGAUUUCAGAACAAAUCAUAUAUUUGAGUUCGUGGGGGAUGGGUAAUAGAAUUUCAUCUCGAACCUCGGGUUUUGACCACGUUUUCCUGAGUGGUGUUUUGGUUAUGUUACCAAAAUUUGGGUCUUAGCUUUAAAUUAAAUAGUAGAAUCAAUUGUUUAAGAUUUAUCGAAAUGAAUAGAUUUGGGCCAUUUGGAGUCAGAUACUCGUGGCAAAUGUGUGGUUUCAAGUUGAAUUGGAGUCGGUUUGAGGUAAGUGGCUUGUCUAACUUUGUGGGGGGACCUUUCCCAUAGGUUAUGUUAUUUGGUAAUUGAGUGCCUUGUACGUGAGGUGACGAGCGCGUACUUGAGCUAAUCGUUGAAAAUCCAGUUUUUUUAUUUAAGAUAUUGAGACUGAGUUUCUUUCGUACAUACUUUAUCUUACUUGCAAUUAUAACUUGUGUUAGAUUAGAAAGAAAUAUUUAGUUGAUUUAACUUGCCUACUUGCUUAAAUUUCCUUAACUGCACUACGUGAGACAUGUUAGGCUAGAACUAUCUGUUGCUUGUAUUGUUGUACUUAACUUCUGAAUACUUUCUGAUUGUAGUUGCACAUUUACAUUAGGACUACGGGUUAGAUUCCCGGGGGAUCCCCCUGCACAUAUUUUUUUAUAGACUACAGGACGGUAUCCUGGGAGAUCCUUGUUAUUCGUAUUGAUAUAGAAAUGGACUACAUGACGGUAUCCUAGAAAAUCCUCAUUAUUGGUAUUGAUAUGGAAAUGGACUAUAGGAAGGUAUCCUGGAGAUCCUCGUUAUUGGUAUCGAUAUGGAAAUGGACUACAGGACGGUAUCCUAGGAGAUCCUCGUUGUUGGUAUUGAUAUUGAAAUGGACUACAGGAUGGUAUCCUGGGAGAUCAUCGGUAAUUGUAUUGACAUGGAAAUGGACUACAGGAUGGUAUCCUACGAGAUACUCAUAAUUUGUACGGUUAUUGAGAUGUCGUACUCUGUGUUAUCAUAUCCUCUGUGAGUUGGUUGUUGUUUAUGUAACCUGGACUUAAUUCACAAUUGUAUUUAGUUAUUUCUGCUUAUUUCAUACAAUUGCUAGAAUUUUUAUUAUAUUGCUUAAUCUUUGUAGGGACCUGACCUUCCUCGCCACUACCCGACCGACAUUAGGCUUGGCACUUACUGAGUACCGUUGUGGUGUACUCAUGCCUCUUUU